UGAGGAACCUGCCUCAAAGAGGGGGACAACAGUUGGAAACGACUGCUAAUACCGCAUAAGCCCACGGGUCGGCAUCGACCAGAGGGAAAAGGAGCAAUCCGCUUUGAGAUGGCCUCGCGUCCGAUUAGCUAGUUGGUGAGGUAACGGCCCACCAAGGCGACGAUCGGUAGCCGGACUGAGAGGUUGAACGGCCACAUUGGGACUGAGACACGGCCCAGACUCCUACGGGAGGCAGCAAGUGGGGAAUAUUUGCACAAUGGGGGGAAACCCUGAUGCAGCGACGCCCGCGUGGAGGAAAGAAAGGGUCUUCGGAUUGUAAACUCCUGUUGUUGGGGAAGAUAAUGACGGUACCCCAACAAGGAAGUGACGGCUAACUACGUGCCAGCAGCCGCGGUAAAACGUAGGUCACAAGCGUUGUCCGGAAUUACUGGGUGUAAAGGGAGCGCAGGCGGGAAGACAAGUUGGAAGUGAAAUCUAUGGGCUCAACCCAUAAACUGCUUUCAAAACUGUUUUUCUUGAGUAGUGCAGAGGUAGGCGGAAUUCCCGGUGUAGCGGUGGAAUGCGUAGAUAUCGGGAGGAACACCAGUGGCGAAGGCGGCCUACUGGGCACCAACUGACGCUGAGGCUCGAAAGUGUGGGUAGCAAACAGGAUUAGAUACCCUGGUAGUCCACCCCGUAAACGAUGAUUACUAGGUGUUG
rnacentral:rRNA from 1 species